AAGAUGAAGAUGGGCAGGAGACAAUCCAGUGCCUGUGUUGAUGUAACAGAUGAGAUGCCUGUGCACUGAAAACACCCCAACUGGGCCGGUCUGCGGGAGAAGCGCCAGGGUCCACCGCACACGCUCUUCAUGUCAGACUUAGCUAAAGUUGCCCUAAUCCCUAAUUUCUGUCUGUCUUGGUUUAAACAGAUUGAUUACACCCCUCACAAGCUCCCAGCCCUUUUCACAUUCUUUGAUAUCUAAUUGCCCCUCUUCUCUACAACCUCCUACCCCUUUCCUAUUGCCCCCUCUUUUCCCAGGACAUCCGGAAAGGGAAACCACAAUAACAUUUCACCAGAGACUCAGUCAAUAUUAUUCCUUGACAUCUUCAAAGCAGGACAGAGGAUAUUGGAGCCCAAGCAAGAGAUGGGUGGAGGCUCACAGCUGGUCCUCCAAGUGCGGCAGUCUCCUGCAAGAAGCUACUCCUCCAUGUUACGGUUACAUUUAAUUGCUGACCUCACGUUAAAUUUAUAUUUGUUACGUUUAAGCAUCGUGAUCCCAGCUUUUAUUUACACCACUAGGGGUCCCUGUGUGCAUAAACAAACGGGUCAGUCUGACCAUCACAAGGGUCAGUUGCAGUUUACUUUACAUUUUCCGUUCAGGAUGCAAAGCACAGACUUCUAUAUGGUCUAGAAAUGACCAAAAGGCAAUAACAAGGACAAGCCAAGGCUGGAUUCUCCAUGGCUGCAGGGUGACACACACAAACAUUUUCCACUUUUUCCUACAUGUAUUGGGAUGUUAGACAGGAGUUAC
rnacentral:lncRNA from 1 species